rnacentral:ncRNA from 1 species
UGAUUAAAACAGCAAGACGGAGAUCACGGAUGUUGAAAUCCGCUAAGGAAUGUGUAACAACUCACCUGCCGAAGCAACUAGCCCUUAAAAUGGAUGGCGCUUAAGUUGUAUACCUAUACAUUACCGCUAAAGUAGAUGAUUUAUAUUACUUGUAAUAUAAAUUUUGAAACUUUAGUGAGUAGGAAGGUACAAUGGUAUGCGUAGAAGUGUUUGGCGUAAGCCUGCAUGGAGCUGCUAUUGGUACAGAUCUUGGAGGUAGUAGCUAAUAAUCUAAUGAAACCUGGGAGGACUGAAGUGGAGAAGGGUUUCGUGUGAACAGUGGUUGAUCACGAGUUAGUCGGUCCUAAGUUCAAGGCGAAAGCCGAAAAUUUUCAAGUAAAAAUAAAAUUUACUAUAUGUAAAAAUUAUAUACUUGAAUAAUUUUGAACGAAAGGGAAUACGGUUCCAAUUCCGUAACCUGUUGAGUAUCCGUUUGUUAUUAAAUAUGGGCCUCGUGCUCAUCCUGGCAACAGGAACGACCAUAAAGAAGCCGUCGAGAGAUAUCGGAAGAGUUUUCUUUUCUGUUUUAUAGUCGUACUACCAUGGAAGUCUUUCGCAGAGAGAUAUGGUAGAUGGGCUAGAAGAGCAUGACAUAUACUGUUGUGUCGAUAUUUUCUCCUCGGACCUUGAAAAUUUAUGGUGGGGAUACGCAAACUUCUCAACAGGCCGUACCAAUAUCCGCAGCUGGUCUCCAAGGUGAAGAGUCUCUAGUCGAUAGAAUAAUGUAGGUAAGGGAAGUCGGCAAAUUAGAUCCGUAACUUCGGGAUAAGGAUUGGCUCUGAAGAUUGAGAUAGUCGGGCUUGAUUGGGAAACAAUAAUAUGGUUUAUGUGCUCGUUCUGGGUAAAUAGAGUUUCGAUCAUUUAUGGUUGUAACUUGUUCCCCGGAUAGUUAGUUACGUAUCCAAUUGUGGAACUUUCUUGCUAAAAUUUUUAAGAAUACUAGUUGGGUCAAACCAAUUAGUUCUUAUUAAUUAUAACGAUUAUCAAUUAACAAUCAAUUCAGAACUGGCACGGACUUGGGGAAUCCGACUGUCUAAUUAAAACAAAGCAUUGUGAUGGCCCUAGCGGGUGUUGACCCCAUGGGAUUUCUGCCCAGUGCUCUGAAUGUCAAAGUGAAGAAAUCCAAGUAAGCGCGGGUCAACGGCGGGAGUAACUAUGACUCUCUUUGGAGAAUAUGGAUUUGAUUGUGCAGAGGGGGUGCUAUACCGUAACUCGUAAGCCAUGCAAUCAGAUCAAGUCGACUCAAAACCUCCUCGUGGUAUUCUCUGGGUGCCAGUAUUUACUGGUAGCUGAUUUGAGCGGCGAAAGGAUCCUUGGGGUUACCGGCCCCCUGGAACCUUAAAACAAAUUGGUGCAACUGAAAAUAACGAGCCUCGGAACCUAAAUCGU